GAUCAUGGCUCAGGACGAACGCUGGCGGUGUGCCUAAUACAUGCAAGUAGAACGCUGAAGGAGGAGCUUGCUUCUCUGGAUGAGUUGCGAACGGGUGAGUAACGCGUAGGUAACCUGCCUGGUAGCGGGGGAUAACUAUUGGAAACGAUAGCUAAUACCGCAUAAGAACAGUUGUUGCAUGACAGCUGUUUAAAAGGUGCAAUUGCAUCACUACCAGAUGGACCUGCGUUG
rnacentral:rRNA from 1 species